rnacentral:rRNA from 1 species
UACGGGGGGGGCAAGCGUUGUUCGGAAUUACUGGGCGUAAAGGGUGCGUAGGUGGCCGGGUAAGUCUGACGUGAAAUCUCCGAGCCUAACUCGGAAACUGCAUCGGAUACUAUCCGGCUUGAGGGUUGGAGGGGGGACUGGAAUACUUGGUGUAGCAGUGAAAUGCGUAGAUAUCAAGUGGAACACCAGUGGCGAAGGCGAGUCCCUGGACAACUCCUGACACUGAGGCACGAAAGCUAGGGGAGCAAACAGG